UACGCAGGGUGCGAGCGUUGUCCGGAAUUACUGGGCGUAAAGAGCUCGUAGGUGGUUUGUCGCGUUGUUCGUGAAAACUCACAGCUUAACUGUGGGCGUGCGGGCGAUACGGGCAGACUGGAGUACUGCAGGGGAGACUGGAAUUCCUGGUGUAGCGGUGGAAUGCGCAGAUAUCAGGAGGAACACCGGUGGCGAAGGCGGGUCUCUGGGCAGUAACUGACGCUGAGGAGCGAAAGCGUGGGGAGCAAACAGG
rnacentral:rRNA from 1 species